AUUGAAACCUGAAGCAGCGGUAAUCUUACCUUGAGUGUACAAGAUCCAAGGAGAGAAGAUCACUGGUUCAAAACAGUGGAGGGCUGAGAAAGUGCUCUGAUCAGCUGCUGGUAGCAUGCACUUGGCUUUUAUGUGCAGGUGGGAGGAGCUGCUCCCUACGAUGGAAUAACUGAGAUACUGUCUGUGAACUGCAUGCAAAGGAACACCACGAGCACAAGCAGUAGGCAGAAUUUGAGAUUUGUGAGCAGAGAAAAGGAAUCCAUGCUACCCCUGUGAGUACACCAACAUUACCAGGCAUGGAAAACUCAGUUGUUUGCUUAAAAAUGAAGACGUCAUGACACCUAGUGGUGAAUUAAGCAAGAAGAACUUGAGUUUCCUAAAGAACUCGCUGCUGUUUUCCAUCAUCAUGUUGUUCUCAUUCAUAUUGCAGUAGGAGAGAUGUGGGCAUUACCCUCAUGAAUCUGAACAUCCAGGCAGCCACUCUUCUUUUACAGUCCAAUGCAACGCCCGUGUUUUGUUGCAUGUGACUCCUGCUCCUCUCCACAGAAGGCCAUGUUCAAUAAGGCCCAGCAUGCAGUCAGUCCCCAGCCAUGUUCCUCACUGAACAUGACAUUUUGAAUGGCCAUUUAUACUGAA